UUAGAUAUCAUGAGGAACUCCGAUCGCGAAGGCAGCCUGCGGGAGUGUUACUGACGCUUAAGCUCGAAGGUGCGGGUAUCGAACAGGAUUAGAUACCCUGGUAGUCCGCACAGUAAACGAUGGAUGCCCGCCGUUGGCGCCCUGCGCCUGCGGCCAAGCGAAAGCAUUAAGCAUCCCACCUGGGGAGUACGCCGGCAACGGUGAAACUCAAAGGAAUUGACGGGGGCCCGCACAAGCGGAGGAACAUGUGGUUUAAUUCGAUGAUACGCGAGGAACCUUACCCGGGCUUGAAUUGCAGUCGCUGCCCACAGAGACGUGGGCUUCCCUUCGGGGCGUCUGUGAAGGUGCUGCAUGGUUGUCGUCAGCUCGUGCCGUGAGGUGUCGGCUUAAGUGCCAUAACGAGCGCAACCCCCUUUCCCAGUUGCCAUCGGGUGAUGCCGGGCACUCUGGGGACACUGCCACCGCAAGGUGCGAGGAAGGUGGGGAUGACGUCAAAUCAGCACGGCCCUUACGUCCGGGGCUACACACGUGUUACAAUGGCCGGUACAGAGGGACGGUGUAACGCAAGUUGCAUCCAAUCUUGAAAUCCGGUCCCAGUUCGGACUGGGGUCUGCAACCCGACCCCACGAAGCUGGAUUCGCUAGUAAUCGCGCAUCAGCCAUGGCGCGGUGAAUACGUUCCCGGGCCUUGUACACACCGCCCGUCAAGCCAUGAAAGCCGGGGGUGCCUGAAGUUCGUGACCGCGAGGAGC
rnacentral:rRNA from 1 species